rnacentral:lncRNA from 1 species
GCAAGAAGCAAAAACUGAACUAGGUUGUUGCUGUGGCCUUUUGCAUCCACCUGAUCUUUAGAUGCUAAGCCUAACCUGCUGUCCUCUAUUUUUCCCAAAGUUUUUUGUGCAAACUUACAAGGCUUAUUUAGGUGCUAACGAAAGAUGUGUUUUUGUCCAUGGAUACCCCUUAAACUUCUUUUUGUUCUACCGGCUCUUGUCUUUGCUACUAAGCUACAAUCAGCAACUACUAUGUAUCUAGAUUGGUGCUUUACAACUGA